rnacentral:rRNA from 1 species
GAUAAACGCUGGCGGCGUGCCUAACACAUGUAAGUCGAACGAUGAUCUAGACUAUUUAUAGUGUAGUGAUUAGUGGCGAACGGGUGAGUAACACGUAGGUGACCUGCCCCAAAGAAAGGAAUAACUCUGCGAAAGUGGAGCUAAUACCUUAUGUGGUCGGCUAUUCGUUUAGUCGACUAAAGCUCUGGCGCUUUGGGAGGGGCUUGCGGCCCAUCAGCUAGUUGGUAGGGUAAUGGCCUACCAAGGCUACGACGGGUAGCUGGUCUGAGAGGACGAUCAGCCACAAUGGCACUGAAACACGGGCCAUACACCUACGGGAGGCAG